UACAGAGGUCUCAAGCGUUGUUCGGAAUUACUGGGCGUAAAGGGUUUGUAGGUGGCCGGCUAAGUCAGACGUGAAAUCCCUCAGCUUAACUGGGGAACUGCGUCUGAAACUGAUCGGCUCGAGUGCAGGAGAGGAACGCGGAAUUCCAGGUGUAGCGGUGAAAUGCGUAGAUAUCUGGAGGAACACCGGUGGCGAAGGCGGCGUUCUGGACUGCAACUGACACUGUAAAACGAAAGCCAGGGGAGCAGACGGG
rnacentral:rRNA from 1 species